rnacentral:ncRNA from 2 species
ACUCUAGUCCGACUUUGUGAAAUGACUUGAGAGAUGUAGAAUAAGUGGGAGCUCCGUGAAUCGGAGGCGGGGUUGUUACCCCUUGUUUUCGACCCAAGACUCGCUUCGGCGGGUCAAUCCGAGCGGAUGACAUUGUCAGGUGGGGAGUUUGGUUGGGGGGCACAUCUGUUAAAAGAUAACGCAGGUGUCCUAAGAUGAGCUCAACGAAAACAGAAAUCUCAUGUGGAACAAAAGGGUAAAAGCUCGUUUGAUUCUGAUUUUCUGUACGAAUAUGAACCGUGAAAGCGUGGCCUAUCGAUCCUUUGGACCUUCGGAAUUUGAAGCUAGAGGCUUCAG